CGGUAACAGCUCAAAUUUGAAAUCUGCCGCAAGGCCGAGUUGUAAUUUGUAGAAGAUGCUUUGGGUAUGGCCCCGGUCUAAGUUCGUUGGAACACGACGUCAUAGAGGGUGAGAAUCCCGU
rnacentral:rRNA from 1 species